UGUAAAAAAAGCUUCUGCUGUCUUUUUUUAAAAAAGAUUAUUUGAAAACUGUUAGAGUAUAAUUAACAGUUUUGAUGUAUCAUAACUUAUUAGAGUAUUUAUUGUUAAUAAAUCAUAUUUGAGACAACUAAGCAACUUUGCCACUACCAGCACCCGAACAGUUAUCAAAUAUUUGAGGUUUUGCACUUUGCUGCACUCAAUACGUGUAAUUUACUAAAUUCAAUAUGUGUGGUUUGAAGAACUGUGGAUCAGUAGAGGGCUCAAAACAUUUCCCUAAAUCUGAGCUAAAGAAUUUCAAAGUUUAUCAUCAGAGUCAGAACGAGAAACCUUAUAUCUUACAGUAGAGAAUGUGAUGUUCAACCCGAUUCGGUAAUAUUUACUGCUAACCCCUCUUUGUGGCCAGUUGUUUUGAGUCAAAAAGAUCAAGAUUUUUUAUUUUAAAAAAAAUACCCAGCACAAAAGCAGUUUUCAAAAGUUAUUUAGGUGCUCCUAGAAGUCCUUACGGUCUUAUCACGGAAUACCGCGGGAGACCAUUUAACUAGAAGUUCACGCCUCCUUCCUUACCAAUGUCGCUUAUUGGGCUGAAGCCGGCGUCAAACCUGGGACCUCUAAAUAACUAAAUAAGUUCUGCAUUUUUAAAGAAUACUUUGAUCUCAAUGAACCAGUCAUUGAGAUCAAAGUAUUCUUUAAAAAUGCAGAACUUUGCUACUUAUUUUUAGUUUUUUUCAAUGGAAGAUUCUUACUGAAGCAACUUGGAUUUUACUGCAUAGACUUUCUAUGACAACAUGGAGCUCUCUUUUCGACUUGAUCAAACCACUUGCUAAGAGAAAUGUUGGCAGCUCUUAAACAUGUUGCGAAAAUCACGACAUGUUUGACCAGUGAGUAGCUGUUAGUCGUCUUCUACAAUCUGCAGCCAUUACCAUUGAUAAUGAUCUACAUUUGAUUAGACAGCUACUUGAAAAUUUUAAACGGAUUAGGAACACUUGGUUACGAAUUUUCUAAGAGACUAUAAUUAUAGCUGACUUACUAGGAUUCGAAGUUUAACUUGCUACUAAAGGAAAGCGUAAGCUAAAGUACCUUUAUGAUGAGGCAUCAAAAACAGGCUAUUUCCACUUCAGCCAAAAAAAAGAACUUAAAGGGAACGUUUUUAAUGUUAAUUUAGAUUGCCUUAUCCAGCAUAUUGAUUCAAGAUUUGAGACGAGAAGUAUUGUUGGCAAUAUGUUUUUAUUCGUCUGGUUAGAUAAUAAUAGUUUUUCUGUUUAAAAUAAAGUAUGAGAACUUGCACGGUUUUAUCUGAGAGAUGUAAAUAAAAAGAUUCUCAAGAAGUUUAGCUAUAUUAACUUCUUUCUUCAUCUGAAAAGUUUCAACACACAAGUAUCGUUUUUUGAUUUUCCAGCAGCUAAUUUCUCUUCCAGAGAAAAAGAGGAGAAAACGAAUAACAAAGAUUUUCUGCUCAGUAUGAGAUACAAUUGACUAUGAUUGUGAAGUAGAUACCAUUCUGGAUAUCUUCGAGAGACAAAAAGAUUCUCAUUUAAGAAGUUUGUCGUUUUAACAAUUUCCGCGAUAUUCGAUCUAAUCUUGUAGAAGAAGCUUAAACACUUUUUUUCCAUACAGUUGUAUCAUUUUCUGGAUUUUUAACACUAUUCCUAAGUCAGUUGCUGAGGGUAAACAAUCGUUUAGUAAACUAAAAAUUGUAAAAAACUCUCCUUUGACCAUGGGCCAGGAUCGCGUUACUAGUAUUUGAUUAUUUUGAUUAAAGAAGAUUUUGGCUAAAAAGGUUACCUACGACAAUGUCAUUAUUUGGGCGACCAUAAGAGCUCAAAAAAUUUAUUUUUAAGUGCCUUGUUUACCUUUCUUAAAGAUUUUGAUGAUUAAUUUUUUAAUAGUUUUAAAGCUAAUGUUUUGAUAAUGUCAAAAAACCGUUUCUUAACCCAGAGAAUUAAUGGUAACGCAAAAGUACGAAGUGCUGUAUUAGAAACAAAUAACUGCUGCGUUCACAAAAUUUUUAAAAUUUUAAUUUCUUUAAUUAGUUUGAAUUAAGGGCGUCGCUCUUCAUUUUUGACCCGGGCGCCAAUGACGCUCUCGAAGGCCCUGUUUGCAGCAACUACAUUUAGACUAUCGGUCACCGUUAGUUUAAAUUAAUCUGAGCAAUUUUUCAAAUAUAUUGGCCAGAAGUUGACAAGUAGUACUAUAAAACAAUUCUACGCAUAGUAAGUGUAAACAUUGGUUAACUCUCAAGAUGUCUGCAGACAUGUUUUCAUGUAAACAGAUAAGUUGAGACAAGGAUAAGACUAACAAGCAAAACCAAAUAAACGAGCAAAACCAAAUAAACGAGCAAAACUAGUUGAGACUAAAAAAAGGUAAAUUAGUAUCAAAAUUAUGUAGAAUCAAGUAACUAAUUUCACAUUAAUCAAAUUGUAAUUUUUUUUGCUUUGGUUUUUUAUAUAUUGUAUAUAAUUUUAAAAGUAUAUUAAUAUUAAAAAGUAU
rnacentral:lncRNA from 1 species